GCAUUCAGUCAUAGAAUUGCAUUAUGGUCCGUGGUAACGGAAUCCAUAACGCAAUUCUGCUUUUACCACUAAAGGAAGUGUGAACGAAUUUCAUAACAUAAAAUUCACUCAUCUCUAACGGCAGGGAUGACAUUUGUUUUAAAAAUCACAAAGACCAAAACUGGCUGCAGUGGAAAAGGAUAAAAGUCUAAAAUGCUUGCAAGUCAAAUAAACCCUCCAAUGUAUAAAUUAUAGCACACAGUUUCUCAACAAACCCUUCUAUUUCUUGUGAACAACAGAAUGAAACAGCAGCAUUGGUUUAUCAUUACAUUUUCUUAACAUCUAGGGGUUCAAUGUAUAUACAAUAAUUACUGGAAAUUAAAAAUACAGUAGCUUAAAAAAAUAAGACUUUCCAAAAACAAAAAAAUAUAUAUACACAUAAAAUGCAUUAAUACACCUUAAGAAAUUAUGUCGUAAGGCUAGUUGCACACUUG